rnacentral:rRNA from 1 species
GCUUGUCUCAAAGAUUAAGCCAUGCAUGUCUAAGUAUAACUCUUUUACUUUGAAAACUGCGAACGGCUCAUUAUAUCAGUUAUAAUUUGUUUGGUGUUCAAGUUUACAUGGGUAACUGUGGCAAUUCUAGAGCUAAUACAUGCUGUUUUGCCUGACUCUGUGGUAAGGCUGUGCUUAUUAGUACCAGAACCAACCCAAGUUCUGCUUGGUUGCAUCCUGAUUCAUAAUAAACGAAUGGAUUGCAUGCUUUGGCUGGCAAUGUAGCAUCUAAGUUUCUGACCUAUCAGCUUCCGACGGUAAGGUAUUGGCUUACCGUGGCAAUGACGGGUAACGGAGAAUUAGGGUUUGAUUCCGGAGAGGGAGCCUGAGAAACGGCUACCACAUCUAAGGAAGGCAGCAGG